rnacentral:rRNA from 1 species
CAGUAGCCACGGUAAAACGAAGGGUGCAAGCGUUACUCGGAAUUACUGGGCGUAAAGCGUGCGUAGGUGGUGGUUUAAGUCCGUUGUGAAAGCCCUGGGCUCAACCUGGGAAUUGCAGUGGAUACUGGGUCACUAGAGUGUGGUAGAGGAUAGUGGAAUUUCCGGUGUAGCAGUGAGAUGCGUAGAGAUCGGAAGGAACAUCUGUGGCGAAGGCGACUAUCUGGGCCGACACUGACACUGAGGCACGAAAGCGUGGGGAGCAAACAGGAUUAGAUACCCGCGUAGUCCCUGUCUCUUAUAC